rnacentral:tRNA from 4 species
GGGCGGUUAGCUCAGUUGGCUAGAGCGCGUCGUUGACAUCGACGAGGUCACAGGUUCAAAUCCUGUACCGCCCACCA